rnacentral:other from 1 species
GUAUUCCUGCCGUGUGCGUGGAGGAUGUUAGUCCCGAUCCAACACGCACGACCACGGGAGCCCCGCUUCGGCCGCGGAUGGCAGGCCUCAGACGGUAUGAGGAGCUCAGAGGCGGCCGGGAGGGCACCCACCUGCUAUGCAGGUUCGGGGACUACGCCCUUACGGCACGGCGGGAGAUGU